rnacentral:rRNA from 1 species
GACGAACGCUGGCGGCGUGCUUAACACAUGCAAGUCGAACGGAAAGGCCCUGCUUUUGUGGGGUGCUCGAGUGGCGAACGGGUGAGUAACACGUGAGUAACCUGCCCUUGACUUUGGGAUAACUUCAGGAAACUGGGGCUAAUAACGGAUAGGAGCUCCUGCUGCCUGGUGGGGGUUGGAAAGGUUCGGCGGUUGGGGAUGGACUCGCGGCUUAUCAGCUUGUUGGUGGGGUAGUGGCUUACCAAGGCUUUGACGGGUAGCCGGCCUGAGAGGGUGACCGGCCACAUUGGGACUGAGAUACGGCCCAGACUCCUACGGGAGGCAGCAGUGGGGAAUAUUGCACAAUGGGCGGAAGCCUGAUGCAGCAACGCCGCGUGCGGGAUGACGGCCUUCGGGUUGUAAACCGCUUUCGCCUGUGACGAAGCGUGAGUGACGGUAAUGGGUAAAGAAGCACCGGCUAACUACGUG